GAUGCCUCUGGCACGGCAGUACGGCCUCUCAGCCCCGCACGAGCCCCUGGAGGUCAUGGUAUUCCCGGGCCUGCGUCUGAGCCGUGAAGCCUUCCUCACCACGGCCGAAUUUGGGACCCAGGAGCUCCGGCGGCCCGCCCAGCUGCGGCUGCAGGUGUACCGGCUCCUCAGCACAGCAGGGACCCCGGAGAACGGCAGCGAGCCUGAGAGCAGGUCCCCGGACAACAGGACCCAGCUGGUCCCCGCGUGCAUGCCAGGGGGACGCUGGUGCCCUGGAGCCAACAUCUGCUUGCCGCUGGACGCCUCCUGCCACCCCCAGGCCUGCGCCAAUGGCUGCACGUCAGGGCCAGGGCUACUCGGGUCCCCCUAUGCGCUAUGGAGAGAGUUCCUCUUCUCCGUUCCCGCGGGGCCCCCCGCGCAGUACUCGGUCACCCUCCACGGCCAGGAUGUCCUCAUGCUCCCUGGUGACCUCGUUGGCUUGCAGCACGACGCUGGCCCUGGCGCCCUCCCGCAC
ensembl:lncRNA novel transcript